rnacentral:rRNA from 1 species
AGUGAACGCUGGCGGUAGGCCUAACACAUGCAAGUCGAACGGCAGCACAGGAGAGCUUGCUCUCUGGGUGGCGAGUGGCGGACGGGUGAGGAAUACAUCGGAAUCUACUUUUUCGUGGGGGAUAACGUAGGGAAACUUACGCUAAUACCGCAUACGACCUACGGGUGAAAGCAGGGGACCUUCGGGCCUUGCGCGAUUGAAUGAGCCGAUGUCGGAUUAGCUAGUUGGCGGGGUAAAGGCCCACCAAGGCGACGAUCCGUAGCUGGUCUGAGGGGAUGAUCAGCCACACUGGAACUGAGACACGGUCCAGACCCCUACGGGAGGCAGCAGUGGGGAAUAUUGGACAAUGGGCGCAAGCCUGAUCCAGCCAUACCGCGUGGGUGAAGAAGGCCUUCGGGUUGUAAAGCCCUUUUGUUGGGAAAGAAAUCCAGCCGGCUAAUACCUGGUUGGGAUGACGGUACCCAAAGAGUAAGCACCGGCUAACUUCGUGCCAGCCGCCGCGGUAA